CAGGCCCCGCCCGCGGCUAACGGUCAGCGGCGCCGGCGUUCCGGGGCUGUUGGCGCCCAGGAAAUGGUUUGGGAAGCGUGGACGACUCGCUCCCGCCCCAGGCCGUCUCGCGGAAGAGUUCAAGCUGCUCUCGGCCUCGGGAAGCUGUCUGGAGCCCGCGCUCUGGACGGUUUCCCACCUGGCAGUAGAGUCGCUUGGGAGUCCAGGCGCUGGAGGGGUUACCCGUCGUUUGUAGGGAGAGGCGGAGGCUGAGCGCCCUGGUCUGGCCAGAGCUACCCAGACGGACCAGACCCCCUCAUCCCUGCUGCCCAGCACCCGCACACACCUGGGCGUGGGGAGUGAGUUGCCGCGUUGUCCCCUUUGCGGUUUUCUGAAGUUCAAACUAGAAUUGCAAUCUAUUUGGUUAAGCCCGAGCCAGCUGCUCCUGACGGCGUAUUAAGAACUCAGUGCCUCCCCCGAUCUGAAAUUGCAUUUUCAACAGUUAGAUGGAAAUCCUAACUACUAACCAUGUUUCACAUUAUUCGCGUGUUAUCACUGACCGCCGUUCGGUUGGCACCCAUUUGGCUGUCCCAAAUCUCAGUGGAGGCCUGGUGUGGAAGAGCCCUUUUUUAGCGGUGUGGUUAUGCCAUUUUCCUGAUCUGGGCCUCUGGCGGUAUCUUGGGUGUGAAUUUGGUGUGGAUCGUGGCCUUUCACCCUGUGCUCCUGGCGUUGUUGCCCAUGUGAUUGUGAUGUUUCACCUGCAGGCCUUUCUAGUCUGCCGGUGAGCCCAGCUUAUGGCACCAGGAAACAGGUGCAGAACAGGAGCAGUUCCCGUCCGAAACCUGGCUACUCACAGGACCCGGGGCCAUGACUGCUGCUGCUUUUCACCUGGAGACACAGAGGUUCCCUUUUCCCUGCCAGUUUCUGCCCCUGUCUUUGGAGCAACUGGAACUGAGAGCUGAAGGCUGAGGCUGAUUGACAGAGUAACCAGAAAGUGAAAACCAAAGGAAGAUGGUGUCCUGAAUAGAGUGGACUCUUGAGCCAUUUUUGUGAGGAGACGCCACUCCAUAGAAGGGACAUCAGUUGUGUUCAGGAGGACAGGUACGUAGUGCGUGCUUUGGGCUGGCAGUUCAGAGAGCUGGUCUGUGCAAAUCACGAUUCUCUAGUACCAAGGAGUAAAAAGAUGUGGAAAAGUUACUUAGCUCGAAAUUACUAGUCAUGUUAUUUGAAGUAGAGGAUUCUCAAAUUUGGUUCCCUUAACUUUAUGGAAAGAGGAACAGUGAUCCCCACAAUUAUUGUCAUAUGUUAAAGCUCAUUAAUUCAUUGGCAAGACAAAGAGAAUGGAAUAGCAGCCAGACCAACACUCUGGCUUGAUCAUGGUGAGCAGGUCCAUGAUCUGGUGGUGACCUCGCUGGGAGAACGUGAUGAAAAUACUUUCCGCAUUAUGAAGUGACACUUAAAUAAGUUUUGAUUUUUAUAAAAACAAAAUUUGCAUUGCUCAAACUGAAUAGGGUCAAGAGCCCCUUUCUGUCACUUUGUGGACAUUACCAAGGAAGCCUACCUGUUCAGAGCCAGUGCUAGAGGUUCCUGGUUGGGGAAGGAGCACUUAUUGAAGCAAAAGUUUAACAAAAGUGAUGUUUUUGUUUCUUUUCUUGUCUAGGAAUUCAUUCUUAGUAUUUAACCAUACUAGAAAAGCCAUAUAUGGUAUAUAUUUUGGCUUCCCCCCCACCAUGGACACACAUUAUUUGGGAAUCUCUGUCUUGGUUAUCAUAAAGACUAAAAAUCUGAAGCUUUGGUGUUGUAAGCCCUUACCUUUUUUUUUUUUUUUUAAUUUAAAUUCAAGUUAGUGUAGUGUUGGUUUCAGGAGUAGAGCCCAGUGAUUCAUCACUCCCAUAUAACACCCAGCGCUCAUCCCAACAAGUGCCCUCCUUAAUGCCCAUAACCCAUUUAGCCCAUCCCCCCCCACCGACCUCCCCUCCAGCAACCCUCAGUUUAUUAUCUGUACUUAAGAGUCUUUUAUGGUUUGCCUCCCUCUCUGUUUUUAUGUUAUUUUUCCUUCCCUUCCCCUAUGCUCAUCUGUUUUGUUUCUUAAAUUCCACAUGUGCGUGAAAUCAUAUGGUAUUUGUCUUUCUCUGACUGAAUUAAUUUGCUUAGCAUAAUAAUACUUUAGUUCCAUCCACAUUGCAAAUGGCAAAAUUUUAUUCUUUUUGAUCACUGAGUAAUAUUCCAUUGCAUAUAAGAUAAAAAGCUUCUGCACAGCAAAGGAAACAAUCAGUAGAACUAAAAGGCAACAGACAGAAUGGGAGAAGAUAUCUGCAAAGGAUAUAUUGGAUAAAGCGUUGGUAUCCAAAAUCUAUAAAGAACAUAUCAAGCUCAACAACCCAAAACCACAUAAUCCGGUGAAGAAAUGGGUGGAAGACAUGAAUAGAUACUUUUCCAAAGAAGACAUCCGGGUGGCCAACAGACACAUGAAAAGAUGCUCAACAUCACUCAUCAUCAGAGAAAUGUAAAUCAAAGCCACAAUGAGGUACCACCUCACGCUGGUCACAAUGGCUAAACUGAACAACUCAGGAAACAACAGGUGUUGGCGAGGAUGUGGAGAAAGGGGAACACUUUUGCACUGUUGAUGGGAAUGCAAACUGGUGCAGCCACUCUGGAAAACAGUAUGGAGGUUCCUCAAAGAAUUAAAAAUAGAACUAUCCUAUGACCCAGUAAUUGCACUACUAGGUAUUUAUCCAAAGGAUGGAAAAAUGCUGAUUCGAAGGGGCACAUGUACCCCAAUAUUUAUAGCAACACUAUCAACAAUAGUCAAAUUAUGGAAAGAACCCAAAUGUCCAUUGAAUGAUGACUAAAGAAGAUGUGGUAUGUAUAUACAAUGUAAGCCCUUAUCUUGGUAUUUAACAGCUACUAGAACUCAUUUGUCCUCUUAUAAAUGACAGACUGAAAAUACUUUCAUUUUUUUUUACAGAAGUUAUGUGAUUCAUUGUUACUUGUAGUUCUUAUUUAUUUUUCUUCAGAUUUGAAAACUUAGUAAUUAAUAAUUGUGAUUUUGAUGAUUAUGUUCAGUCCAUAACAAGUUAUAUUUAUUUUCUUUUUAUGUUGCUGAGAUAGUAUUGCCUUUUUUUAAGUUUAUUUAUUUUAAGAGAGAAAAAGUUAGCAUAUGUGCAUGCACAGGGAAGGAGCAGAGAGAGAGGAGAGAGAGAGAAUCCAAAGCAUGCUCCACACCAUCAACAUGGAGCCCGACGUGGGACUUGAACUCGUGAACCAUGAGAUCAUGACCUGAGCUGAAAUCAAGAGUUCGACACCCAACUGACUGAGCCACCCAGGCACCCCACUGUGUUGCUUUUUAAAAUAAAUUAAUCGAGCGGCGCCUGGGUGGCUCAGCCCAUUAAGUGUCCGACUUCAGCUCAGGUCAUGAUCUCACAGUUUGUGAGUUCGGGCCUCGCAUCGGGCUCUGUGCUGAAAGGUCAGAGCCUGGAGCCUGCUUCGGAUUCUGUGUCUCCCUCUCUCCCUGCCGCUCCCCUACUUGUGCACUCUCUCUCCGUCUCUUUCUCAAAUAUAAACAUUAAAUUUUUUUUUUAAUUUAUAAAAUAAAUUAAUCAAGAAUGUUGCUUUUGGUAUGGAGGAUUAAGAUCUUAACAAAUCUGCUGUCUAACAGAUAACAGUUACAAAGUCUGGACAAAAUAAAAAGUACCUGAAGUAUCUGGAGCUUGAAUAGAGGUUUCAAAAGGGAGUCGUAACGUGGCAGAAAGGUCCGACGAGGGGUGUGUGCCCCAGUAUUUCAGCUUUACUCAGAUAACGGACCAUAGUCACAGCAUGACACGCGGUGGUUGAAGUGCUAGUGAAAAACCAACCAGGCUUCUGGCCUGAGGAACCAAAAACUAGAGUUUAGGACAAACAUGGCAACCCAAAAGAAAGGGAGGGAAUUGUGAAGAGGAGAGAGGUAGAGAAAAAGAUCCCCAGGUUUUUGUGCAGAGUCUAACCACGUCUCUGGCUGACCCUUCCACCAGCCGCAAAGCACCUCAAAAAGGACAGAAGAAAUCAGAUGAGCUUUGAGCUGUUGCCUGUGUCCAAAAGAGACAGUUUGCAGUUUGAGUCUCACCAAAUUAAUUCACUGCCAAAGCACAAAAACAUCAACAUUCAUUGGAGAAAGAGGUUACACACACACACACACACACACACACACACACACACACAAACACCCUCUCCAUCCUUUAGACAGAGAAUUGAGAGUCUCGGUAAAACAUAAUAUAUAAGGGGGCACCUGGGUGGCUCAGUUGGUUAAAGUCUGACUUCAGGUCAGGCCAUGAUGUCACAGUUCAUGGGUUCAAGCCCUGCGUCGGGCUCUGUGCUGACAGCUUGGAGCCUGGAGCCUGCUUCCGAUUCUGUGUCUCCCUCUCUCUAUAUCCCAACCCUCCCUCUCUCUUGCUCUCUCUCUCUUUCUCAAAAAAAAAAAAAAACACAUUAAAAACAAACAUAAUAUGUAGGAAUACAAUCCCAAAUUACUCGAUAUAUAAAGAACCAGGAAAAUAUGACCUCUUACCAAGAGAAAAGACAGGCCAGAUGAAGAUGUUAGAAUCCAUUAGACAAGAACAUUAAAGUGUCUGUGAUAACUAAGCUCUGUGAAGUAAAGGAAACCAUACUUGUAGUAAGCAAAAUGGAAGAACCUCCACAGAUAAUUAUAAAACAUAAUAACAAAAUGAAAAAAAAAUCAAGCUUAAACAUUCAGUAUUUGAAAUGAAAAAGUCAUUGACUUGGCUUUAUAGUAGGGUACGUAUUGUGUAAAGGAAAAACUUUCACACUGUCUUGUGGGGUAUGUAUCUAUUUAGAUGUAACACAUGACACAACGGAGCAUGGUGAUGGCAGGGGCCAGUAAAUGGAACCAAAUGAUUGCAUGGUAACUACAUUUGAUGGGAAAGUGCUGUAGUAACUUGAAAAGUAGACUGUGUGAACAAUGUUUAUUUUAAUUUCUAGUAUAACCACUAAAGAAAGUUGUGCAAAAAGUAUAGCUAAAAAGCCAAUAGGUAAUCUUUAUUAAAAACCAAAAAAAUCCAGGGGUGCCUGGGUGGCCUAUUCGGUUAAGCAUCCAACUUCAGUUCAGGUCAUGAUCUCGUGGUUUGUGAGUUUGAGACCUGUGUCAGGUUCUGUGCUGAUAGCUUGGAGCCUGGAGCCUGCUUCAGAUUCUUUGUCACCCAUUCUGCCCUCCCUCCCUUGCUUGUGCUCUGUCUCUCUCUCUAUCUAUUUAAAGAAUAAAUAAACAUUUAAAAUUUUUAAAAAGUUAAAAUCCAAAAGUAGGCAGAAAAGGAGGAGUUUUUUUAAAAAAAAGAAUAUAAAAUACAAAUAAUAAAAUGGGUAACUUAAAUCCAAACGUAUCAAAAACUACUUUAAAUAUUAGUGGAUCAAAUAUUCCAAUUAAAAGGCAGAAAUUAACAAAAUGAAAUAAAAAAGAAUACCCAAAUAUGCUAUAUGUAAGAGAUGUGCUUUAAAUAUAAACACACAUGUAGGCUGAAAGCAAAUAGAUGGAAAGAGAAGACAUACCAUGUGCCAUGGACUGAAUGUUUGUUUCCACCCCCCCCCCAUUCAUAUAUUGAAAUCUUAACCCCCAAUUAGGAAGUGAGGCCUUCUGGGGGGUGAUUAGGUCAUGAAGGUGGAGCCCUCAUGAUGAAAUUAAUGCCCUUAUUAUAUAUUAUGGCCCCAGAGAGUUCUCUAGUCCCCUUUCCAUUAUAUGAGGAUACAAGAAGCCAGCAACCUGCAACCCUGAAGAGGUCCCUCACCAGAACUUGAUCAUGCUUACACCCUGACCUUAGACUUCCAGCCCCGAGAAUGGUGAGAAAUAAGUUCCUGUUAUUUUUAAGCCAACCAGUCUGUGGUAUUCUGUUAAAGCAUGUAAAUAAGCAUAGAAAGGCCACAGUGGUUAUUAAUACCAGACAAAACAGACCUGUGGCAAAGAGUAUUAUCAGAAACGGGGCCAUUUUAUAAUGAUGGAUACAUGGAUUCAUCAAGAAGACGUGAUAUUCGUAAAUGUGGGUCAAUGUGUAUGUGCCUAAUAACAGAGCUCCUAAAAUGCAUGAAGCAAAAAUUGAAAGGAUAAAAAGAAGAAAUGGACAAUUCCACAAUGGUAGUAGGAGGUUUUAACACCCCACAGGAAGUGGUACAACAAGAGACAGAAAAGAACCGUAAAAAUAUAACCCAAACAACACUAUCUACCACCUUGAUCUAAUUGUUAUUCACGGAAUGUUACAUCCAACGAUGUCAGACUGCACCUUCCUUUCAGUACACACGGUGCUUUUACAACAAAUCAUAUGCUAACCCACAAAACAGCUCUCAAUCAAAAUAAGAUUAUUGAAAUCGUCGAAUAUGUUCUUUUACCACAACAAAAUUAAAUUGCAAGUCAAGAACAGUACGGAUGGUCCCCAACUUUUGAAGAUCCCACUUACAAUUUUUCAACCUCACAAUGGUGCAAAAGUGAUACACAUUCAUUAGAAACCACUAUGAAUUUUGAAUUUUGAUCUUUUCCUGAGCUGCUGCUGUACAGUAUGGUUCUCUGUUGUGACACUGGGCAGCAGCUUUGUGCCACCGUGCCCAGUCAGCCACAUGGUCGCCAGGGUUGACGAUUGAUCCACCUACAACCAUUCUAUACCCAUGCAACCAUUCUGGUUUUGGGUUUUCACUUUCAGUAUGGUAUUGAGUAAAUUAUAUGAGAGAUUAAACUUUAUUAUAAAAUAGGCUUUGCGCUAGAUGAAUUUCUCCCACUGUAGGCUAAUGUAAGUGUUGUGAGCCCAGCUAAGGUCAGGUAGGCUAAGCUAUGAUGUUUGGUAAGUUAGGUGUAUUAAAUGCAUUUUCUGCUUAAUGGUAUUUUCAACUUAUGAUGGGUUCAUGGGGAUGUAACCUCAUCAUAAGUUGAGGAAGAUCGUACAAUAUCUAGAAAGACAUCCCAAAUUUUAAAAUAAACAACUUACUUCUAAAUAAUCUGUGGGGCAAGAAAAAUCAUGAGAGGUUAGGAAAUAUUUAAGACAGAAAAGUAAUGAAUAUACAAUAUAUCAAAAUUUGUGUAAUGCCCCUAACCUAGUGCUUAGAGAAAAUGCAUGGUUUUAUUUUGUUUUAUUUAAGUAUAAUAGACACACAAUGUUACAUUAGUUUCAUAUGUACAACAUAGUGAUACAAGAAGUUUAUAUGUUAUGCUGUGUUCACAAGUGUGGCUACUGGUCUGUCCUGAUACAUCCUGAUACAUCGCUAUUACAAUACCAUUGACUAUGUUCCUUAUGCUGUGCCUUUUAUUCUGGUGGCUUAUUCACUCCAUAACUGGAAGCCUGUAUCUCCCACUCCUCUUCACCUAUUUUGCCCAACCCCCAAACCCACCCCUCUGGCAACCAUCAGUUCUCUGUAUUUACAAGUCUGAUUCUGAAAUGGCUACAUACUGUAUGAUUCUAACUAUAUGACAUUCUAGAAAAGGUAGACCUUUAUAACAUUAAAAUUCUUUAUUAGUUUUGGGGCUCCUAGGUGGUUCAGUUGGUUGAGCAUCCAACUUUGGCUCAGGUCAUGAUCUCAGGGUUCAUGGGUUCAAGUCCUGCAUCAGGCUCUUUGCUGACAGCUCAGAGCCUGGAGCCUGCUGCAGAUUCUGUGUGUCCCUCUCUCUCUGUCCCUCCCCCAUUCACACUCUGUCACUUUCUCUCAAAAAAUAAAUAAACACU